CUCCUUCACUCUUCGUAUGUCGGUGCAAUGCAGUGUUGCUUUGCUACUUACAGCGAAGUGUCUUUGAAGCGGUGAUCCCUCUAUUUUGAUGGUUAUUUGAUUGGUGGUGGAGAUGGUUGCUGUGUUGGCAAUGGUUUCAAUGUUUUGGGGUUGCAAUUUUUGUUUGUAGUUUUUGGUAGUGGUGGUGAACCUGGCAAUGGCGAUGGUAGCUCUUAUUUUGGAUCAAGUUUUGUGGUGGUU
rnacentral:lncRNA from 1 species